AACGAACGCUGGCGGCAGGCUUAACACAUGCAAGUCGAGCGCCCCGCAAGGGGAGCGGCAGACGGGUGAGUAACGCGUGGGAAUCUACCCAUCUCUACGGAAUAACGCAGGGAAACGUGUGCUAAUACCGUAUACGUCCUUCGGGAGAAAGAUGUAUCGGAGAUGGAUGAGCCCGCGUUUGAUUAGCUAGUUGGUGGGGUAAAGGCCUACCAAGGCGACGAUCCAUAGCUGGUCUGAGAGGAUGAUCAGCCACACUGGGACUGAGACACGGCCCAGACUCCUACGGGAGGCAGCAGUGGGGAAUAUUGGACAAUGGGCGCAAGCCUGAUCCAGCCAUGCCGCGUGAGUGAUGAAGGCCCUAGGGUUGUAAAGCUCUUUCACCGGUGAAGAUAAUGACGGUAACCGGAGAAGAAGCCCCGGCUAACUUCGUGCCAGCAGCCGCCGUAAGAC
rnacentral:rRNA from 1 species